GGAAGAUAACCUGCUUCUAACCGUCCU
rnacentral:rRNA from 1 species